AGCAAAAACGCACAACUGGGCGGUAUGUGCAUCACAUUGAUAAUAUUCUGUUAUGGAAUAGCUGUGAAUAGAAAGUCUUGAAGCAAAUGAAAACCAUUCUGUUGCAGAUUCUCAUUCUUUGGUCUUAGAAAUUAGGAUUCCAUGAAUCCAUAUCACUACUGCUGUUCAUGUUCGAAGUACUUACAUAUUUAUUAGAAUUGAUGUGUAUGAUGUGGAAUAACAUUAGGUGUAGUAAAUGCAUAUAUGCUGACAAGUGGCCAGACUUUUUCUAAUUCUUAAAUUUAAUAAGUUGAUGUUUAUUAUGAACUUGAUCUGGAUAGUCAUUGGAAUGCUGGAGGAUCCUCUGGGUAAUAAUUUGAGUGACUUUAUUGCAUACCUGGCUAGAGAGAUUGAUGUAAACAAGCCAAAAUACCCAUCAAAUUUUGUAUGAAAUUUUAUAUUCUCCUUGCUAGGAAUGAAUGGAAAUAGUUUUUCCUUUUUCAAAUGAUCAAACAAAUGAAGAAUUUGGUGAUAUGUUAUAUCAUAUUUGUACAUGAAAUUGAUUGAUAUUUCUUCCAUAUGUCAUCAUGUCCAUCUUGCUCUAAAACAGAGCAUUUUAAAUUUUUAAUAGAGGAUUAUAGUUGUUAUGGGUCAAAAAAUCACGAUUAGGAUCUCGCCAUGUGUGACCCUACAAGCUAGAAGGAAGCGGUGCGUGGUCCUCCCUGUCACAGGACCUUUGAUGAUUAUGUUAGUAAAUAAAUAUAAAAUAAUAGAAACUUAAUAUAAAAUUAGAAAUAAACAUAAAAUAAGUGGGAUAGAAAAAUGGGCAUGUUCCUUCAAGAGUGGCAUGUAGUAGUUGUCUUUGUGGAUGGAUUGAAGCAAAGGACCUCUGAUGGUGUAGGGAUGUUUGAACUCUUAUAAGAUGACCGCUUGAGGGGCCUUUGAUGUGGAGCCUCCGAUAGUUAAGUUAGUAAUUGACUGAGUAAGAGCUCUUGAUUUUGUAUUAGGCUUAAUGUAAAUGAGAAUGUUAUUCUUACUUUAGGACUUUCUGUACCUUGUUAGACUGCUCGGAGAAGAAUUUAUAUAUGCUUAGAAGUAUGGUGAUUGAGACAGGUGGCACUCUCUAGCUAGGAGUAGGUGUAAUCAUGGAGAUGUCGAGUGGUUAGCAUGAUAUGGUUUGCUAGGUGCCUCUGGAGUGUCCGAGUGACUUGUGUUAGACUCCAUGUUUGAGAUAUCUUCUUGCAUACUUUGGUGCAUGUUUCAUUUAUUUGCAGAAUGUUUUAUGUUAAAUCAGUGGUCAACAUGCUGCCAAUCUCCUACCUUAGUGUGAGUUGCUCUUUGUGGUUGAUCACCUUUUAAGAACUGACAUGAGGUAGGUUUUGAUGAGCUUGAUGUUUGGUCUGUCAUGAUUGGCCAAUGUCCUUUAAGGAUGCAAGAAUCCAAGUCAGGAAUGCCGAUCCAAGUCUAGAGAGUUGGAGUAGGGGACCAAAUCAACUCGAGUCCUUCCCAUCCUUUGUUGUAGAACUCUCAAGUCAAACAUCAAUGUCCUGCAGGGGAGCUAGCGGUGCCACUUAUCAUCAUCUUGUGAGGCGCAUAUUAGUCCAUAUCAAUAGUUGUGAAGCUUUGAACACUUUAGAUCAUGUCAGCAGUGGUUUAUUUUCUUUUAUUUUUAAGUCAUGUGGUUAAUUAAUCAAAACCUGUGUAUCAUUGGUUUGGUUGCUCAUUAUUUGUUAUUCUUAGAGAUUGAUGCUUCAAUGGGUCUCAUGUUCGUAUAAUCUUGUCAUGUGUGCCCAUUGUCCAUGUAUCUCUGUGCAUUUCACUAUAAUAUGUGUGCCUGACUGUUGGUUGGUUCUUAGGUUGCAUUGAAAACUUUGAUUGU
rnacentral:misc_RNA from 1 species